rnacentral:lncRNA from 1 species
UUAUGGCCAACUCAAAGUACCAAACUAGCAAGUCAAAAUUUUAAAAUGAAAAUAAUUAAAACUAUCUUGGGCUACAUGCACAUUCUUCUUUCAUUAAUUUGUUAUCCUUCUCUUGAGUUUUGUCUUCCAACCCCCCUAUUUUGGAUUUAGCCAUUUGUGGCCCUUAUAAAUUGAUGAAUCAAUUGAUACAUGAUGAUUCUUAUAAUUUACACAAUUCCUGUCCAAUUCUUGGCUACUUAUGGUUCACCCAUCGAUUUGCAUCAUUAUGCUAAUGAUUUGAUACGCAUGUCCUAUUUGUACGCUUUCCACUCCGUAAGCAUUUCUUAAGGAUUCCUAUCGAUAAAAGAAAUAAAUUAAGAUCAAAAGUGGAUAAGUAACAGCUAAAAAUAGACCCUCAAAUUUUAGACAAUGAGGCACAAUCCUUUUUGCUUCUUCCAAUUUCCAGCCUUUCAAAAAUGCAUAUUGAAUUAGAAAUGAAUUUACCUAUUCGAACCUGGCCUUUUUCACCUUAAUUAAGAUCAAUCCCCUUGUAAAAACUCUGAAGAUUUCUGAAUUUUCUAUGUAUUUCUCUAAAUGACUGACUGUUACACACAUAUAGAUUACAAGAUUCUUGAGUAUGGAAAUACUCUACAAUUAAGACAAGAUAUGCUCCUACUAUUACUCCUAUAAUCAUGCUAUCUAUCAAGGCAAACUAACCUACAGCUGUACAUAUAUAUCCACCCAAACUCCUAUAUUCUGUGGGUGCACUAUGCCUCUUCCAUUUUCUAUACUUAUGAACAUCAUCUUUACAAGAUUAACAAUUAAUGAAAAUUUUUCCCUUGACUUGGGCAUAUCAGUCAAGCCAACAUGUUAUUUAUCAGAACUCACAGAUAUUCAUGCUAUCUAUCAAGGCAAACUAACCUACAGCUGUACAUAUAUAUCCACCCAAACUCCUAUAUUCUGUGGGUGAACUAUGCCUCUUCCAAUUUCUAUACUUAUGAACAUCAUCUUUACAAGAUUAACACUUAAUGAAAAUUUUUCCCUUGACUUAGGCAUAUCAGUCAAGCCAACAUGUUAUUUAUCAGAACUCACAGAUAUCCUUCAGCCCUAAUACUACAUAAGUUAACAAACAAAUGUUUGUACCAUAUUGGGGGUUCAACAAAUUUGUAAUGCUGAUUCAUAUUUGGGGUUGCCUUUAUUAAUAGGUUGCAACAAGGAGGCGUUUGAAUUUGUUGUAGAUGGGGUGUGGAAAAGACAUUGGGAUUGGAAGAAGAAAUUGCUCUCAAAAGCUGGCACAGAAAUGCUUGUGUACAAUGGCUCAAGCAAAAUUGAAUCAUGUAAUGAGUGUUUUUGGUGUUGUCAAUGGAGAUUUGUAAUACCUAGGAAUGGCAAAUGAAUAGCUUUUGUUGGGAGAAUAGUGGAAAAGGAAAUGGUAUUCGAUGGGUGAACAGGGAUAAAUUGUAAGCAUUAGAACCAUGGUGGUUUAUCCUUUAAAAAGCUUUGUAUUUUCAAUCUCGCUCUACUACCUAAGCAAGUAUGGCGAUUUCUCUGAAGACCUACCUCUUUGGUUGCUCGUAUUUUUAAAUCACGUUAUUUUCCUCAUACUUCUUUUUUGAAGCAUCUAUGGGCAAUAAUCCAAGUUAUACAUGGUUAUAUUGAAGACUUGAAGACUUUUAAAGGUUGGAUAUUGUCCUCGCAUUGGGUCAAGAGAAAGCACAUGUAUAUGGGGAGAUCCUAGGUUACCCGAUAAAGAGGAACCUUAUACAAGGACUCCUAGCCAUAAGGGUAUGGAUAAUGCUAUGGUCAGAGACUUAAUGGUGCCUUUUGGAUAUGUUUGGGAUACUUGAUUAAUUUUAGAGAUUUUUUAUGCAAGAGAUGCUGUGUUAAUUUUCUCCAUUCCUUUGAGCCAUCAAAAUACUACUGAUAUGUGGAUGUGGCAAUGGGAUAAAAGAGGAAUUUAUAUGGUCAAAAGUGGUUAUUGGACGUAGUAUUCUUUGAUUCACAAUUCUGUUAGUGGCUCUCAAAUUGUCUAAAUCUAUUUGGAAGCAUUUUUGGAGAGUUAAGGUUCCCUCCCAAGUGAAACAUUGUCUUUGAAGAGCUGUUUGGGUGUUUUACCAACUAAAAUAAACACUAAGAACGUGCCAUGUUGUUGCUCUUGAUUAUGGAUUACAAAGAUGAGUUUGUUAUGCAUGCUUUAUUUGUUGGGGGCUGUGUGCUGUUGUAUCUCCAUCAUUUUGUCAUGUUGUGGAUAGGGUGAUUGCUCUUCUGCAAAAUAAUGACUUAAAAAUGAUUUUAGGAUGCUUUCAUGUUGGUUUGGUAUCUAUAGAAACACCGCAAUCUGGUUGUUUGGCAAGUGUUAGAUAAGAGGAUGGCAUUGUUGUACACCAAGCUAAGAUAUCGACUGCAAGAAUGGAGGCAUACUCAUCAACAAUUGCAUUCUGCCUCAAAUUUAGUGGUGUCAUCUCACAUUGUCAGGUGGCGUCCUCCAGUUAAAUGCAAUGUUGUAGAUGCUUCAAUUGACAAAGCAUGUAGUAAAUCUGGUUUUGGAUGGUUGUUACAUGAUCAUCAUAUUCAGUCAUUUUCUUCUUGGAGGGUAACAGCCAAUUUUGGAAACUUUUGAUGUGGUUUGGCUGAGAUCUUGUGUUAUGAAAAGCCCAUAUUUGGUUAAAAAUGAUUCUUUAGAGACAGAUUCUCUGUUUGGUGCAUAGCCUUCGCUCUAACAAACCCUAAUCUGACUUAUUAUAGUCAAGUGAUUGACGAUUGUAAAGCUCUUCUUGAUGAGCUUGUUAAUUGUAUUUUCUCUUUUAUAAGAAAUCAGUGAAUCAGUGUGCUCAUGUAAUGGCAAGGGCAACUGUUUCUUUGUCUAGCUUGGUUGAUCGGGGGCUUCCCUCCAUCUAUCCUUGUUGAUGUAUUGCACUAUGAUUUAAGUAAUUUAUGAAGCUUGUUUGCUUUUGCUUUUAAAAGUAAAUAAAUGAAUAAACUGUCACAUUAAUUAACCAAAGGGGAAAGAACACUGGUGGAGUGGGCACAACAUGCACAAGGCAAAUAGACAAUAGGUAUAGUUUUUACUACAUUAAAUACAUUAAUUUGAAUAAAUUUAACAAUAAAAUUUAGUAAAUAAUAAGGAAGUGAUUUAAAAAAAAAUGCUACCACUAGAAAAAUAAAAACUUCAUGACUAAUUAUUAAUGAGAAGUGGAAUUAAGAAUAAUAAAAUUGCAUCUAAUUAUAUUU